rnacentral:misc_RNA from 1 species
AACGGUCUAUACCUGCGGUACCUGCGGAAGGAUCAUUACUGAGUAACGUGGUCUUUUAGACCCGGUACCCGCCCUUUGUCAUAUGUUGGACGAGGUCGUCUUUAGGGGCGGCCUCCGACCCCACUUCCCGGGAAGCGUUGCGCCUCAUCAGGUCUAGGCCUUUGAUGAGGAUGGGACCGCCCGGGGUCUUUUUCAAACCCUUUGUGAGAAAUCUGAAGUCUGAAGCGAAAGCUUAAAAUA